rnacentral:rRNA from 1 species
UUCGCAAUGCCCGAAAGGGUGACGAAGCGGCGCCGCGUGGGUGAGGAAGGCCCUCGGGUUGUAAAGCCCUGUCAGGAGUUAAGAAAUGUAGAUACGCUAAUAUCGUAUCUAUUUGACAAAGGCUCCAAAGGAAGCCACGGCUAACUCUGUGCCAGCAGCCGCGGUAAUACAGAGGUGGCAAGCGUUGUUCGGAAUUAUUGGGCGUAAAGAGCACGUAGGCGGUCCUGCAAGUCUGUUGUGAAAUCCUUCCGCUUAACGGGAGAACGGCAGCUGAUACUACAGGACUAGAGUACGGGAGGGGAGAGUGGAACUUCUGGUGGAGCGGUGAAAUGCGUAGAUAUCAGAAGGAACGCCGGCGGCGAAAGCGAUUCUCUGGCCUAUUACUGACACUCAGUGUGCGAAAGCUAGGGGAGCAAACGGGAUUAGAUACCCCGGUAGUCCUAGCCGUAAACGAUGGGCACUAAGUAGAGGGGUUUU